rnacentral:tRNA from 1 species
UGGGGUAUAGCCAAGCGGUAAGGCAAGGGACUUUGACUCCCUCGUGCGUUGGUUCGAAUCCAGCUACCCCAG